rnacentral:ncRNA from 1 species
AAACUUGAGAGUUUGAUCCUGGCUCAGAACGAACGCUGGCGGCAGGCUUAACACAUGCAAGUCGAGCGCCCCGCAAGGGGAGCGGCAGACGGGUGAGUAACGCGUGGGAAUCUACCUUUUGCUACGGAAUAACAGUUGGAAACGACUGCUAAUACCGUAUACGCCCUACGGGGGAAAGAUUUAUCGGUUUUAGAUGAGCCCGCGUAAGAUUAGCUAGUUGGUGGGGUAAUGGCCUACCAAGGCGACGAUCUUUAGCUGGUCUGAGAGGAUGAUCAGCCACACUGGGACUGAGA